rfam:Rhizopogon vesiculosus strain AM-OR11-056 contig35, whole genome shotgun sequence.
AUUUUAUUGAGUUGAAGGUAUAGUCUAAUCCAAUAUGAAAAUAUUGGUAUAAAUGCAGCAAGUUAAUAGGAGUAGCAAGGUUAAAAACCUUAGCGAAAGCGACUGGAUCGUAAAGAUAUUGGGUAAGUUACUUCUAUUAGACCCGAAGCCAGGUGAUCUUUCUAGGACCAGAUUAUAAUGGAUCGAACGGGUGAAUGUUGCAUAAUUCUCCGAAGAGUCCUUGAAAGCGGCGAAAUACCAAUCUGACCUGGUGAUAGCUGGUUUUCUACGAAACAUAUUUAAGUAUGACAUCUACACAAAAUUUAUGGAGGUACAGCACGGCAAUUCCCAACAAGUUUUAGAAUAGAAAAUUUUUAUAAAAUUCUUUAUUUUAUUAGGAGUUUAGGUUGCGGGGACCUCGAAAAUCUUACCAAUGGAAGUGAAACUCGGAAUUACAUAAAUUGGUGGUAGAUAUUCAGACUGCUCAUGCUAAGUUGGGUAGUCAAGACGGAAACAGCCGAGAACACAUGAUUAAGGUCCCAAAUGAUUAUUAAGUGAAAUAAAGGAAGUAACAAAUUGAAUGCAGCUGUAAAGUGAGCCUGGUAGUAGCUACUUAUAAUGAUCGUGUAACAACGCAUCAGCCCUUAGAGUGUUGCGCCGAAAAUUCAACGGGUCUUAAAUAAUCAACCGAUAUCGUGUUAAUUUUAAAUAAAAACAAUUAUUAUUUGUUUAUAAUUUUUAUAGACAAAUAUAUCUUAAACUUUUUAUAAAUAAUUAAUUAUACAAAAUUUAAUCUUGAACUGUUAAUUAAUUAAUUAUUAUUUAAUUAAAUUAUUUAAAAAUUAAUAUAAAUUAGUUUAAUAUUUCCCAUUUUUAUGAAAUAUAUUAAUAACAAAAUAAUAAAUUUUAUAAGUAACAAAUCUUUUUAAUAGUUUAAAGUAUAAUAUAAAUAUAAUUUAUAAUUAGAUUUUUAUAUUGUUAAUAUAUUUUAUUUAUCUUAAUUUAAUAUAUUAUCUUUAUUUUAUUUAAAAUCUAGGUAGUAGAACAUUCAGAUAGUUUCAAUCCCCAUGAUUAACAGUGUUUCAUUGUUCAUAGGAAUCUGAAGAGAUAAUGCUGACAUGAGUAACGCAAAAAGAAAGAAGAAAUUAGAUCGAGAGGUCUUUUAAGAUUUAAACUUUCUCGCCGAAUACGAAAGGGUUAUUAGCUAAAGAUUAAUUCAACUAAUGUUAUAGCGGUCUCUAAGGCACAAAACCAAUGUUUUGUCUGAUGAGUUCAACUUUGAAAGUCCACAGGGAGAUUAUUACUAAAUAACACAGAAUAGUAAUGAAAAUAUUGAUUAUAAUUAAUUUAAACAAUUGUUUUUAUUAGUUUAGCAAUAUUCUUAUGAAAAGAAAAUUAAUUUCUGAAAAUGUAAAUGAUUUUUAAAAAUUAAUAUUGAAUUGUUUUGAUAAACUUAGUUUAAUUUAAUAGUAAACUUAGUUGUUAUUUUUAAUAAAAUUGGGACCAGGAAAAAAAUGUUUGAAUAACUCAAUUUGUAGAAAAUAAUUUAGAACUAAACUUUUAGUUUAUCUAUCAAAAAAUAUAUAUUCUAAUAAAUUUUAGAUUUACUCUAAUAGUCUAAGAGUUAAUUUUAUUUUUAUUUUUAUAUUUAGUUUAGUCAAAAGAAUUUAAUUUUAGGUGUGAACCUGAAAUGUCUUUAUUUAUUUUUUAUAUUAAAACAAAAUUAAUUACAAAUUGAGCCUACCGUACCCUAAACCGACACAGGUUCGUAGGUAGAGUAUACUAAGGCGUAGAGCUAAAAGUUGUUAAGGAACUCGGCAAAUUAACCUCAUAAGUUCGACGACAAGAGGAACCAUUUUUAAGAAAUUAAUAACUCCAUUGAAUUUUAUUAAUCUCUUUUGUGGUGGCACAAAAUCGGAAGCCCCGACUGUUUACUAAAAACACAGCUAUCUGCAACGAUGUAAAUCAUAGUAUAGGUAGUGAGGUUUGCCCGAUGCCAUUAAUAUAAGAGAAGUGAUGGGUAACUGUUAAUUAUCGAAAAUCUGGUUAAUAGCGGUCUUAACUAUGAGGAUCCUAAGGUAGCAAAAUAAAUUGGCCAUUAAAUGUGGUCCGGUAUCAAUAAUUUAACGAUGGCUUCACUGUCUCUACAACUUGCUCAGUGAAAUUGAAUUACCCGUGCAGAUGCGGGUUGCCACCAGGGGGACGGGAAGACCCUAUGCAGCUUCUACUGUAGUUAAUCAUCAUAUUAAUCUAGAACAACCUUAGUCAAUAGAAAAUAGGUAUGUCGAUAGACAAAAAAUGGAAGACCUUAAGUCUAGGGUUGGGUUAAUGUUUACCUUUUUAAUUAAAAAACUAAAAUGGGAGAGCUGAUUGAUUGGCAGUUUGACUGGGGCGGUCGUCUUUAAUAGAGUAGCAAAGUACAUCCAAAUAUAAAAUUAAAUAAAAAUAUUUACUAUUAAUAAUAUUAAUGUGUAAAUAUUCUCACAAACAUUAUAUUGCUGUAAAUUUUUUAAUUUACUUUAACAUCAAUUUUUAUUUUUUGUUUUUAUAAGGUAUAGCUAGAAGUUGAAUGGAGAUCAAUUAACCAGUGAUAAGGUUAUGGAGGGUGCAAUGGCGGUAAGCAUGCUUAACUGAUAGACUUAAAAGUCGCACAGAUACGUAAGUAGGGCAUAGUGACCCCUCGCUAUAUUAUGGAAUAGACGGGGAUCAAUUGAUAAAAGUUACGCUAGGGAUAACUUGUUGUCCUCCUUAUUAACUAAAUAAUAAGGUAA